rnacentral:lncRNA from 1 species
CAGAAAAGCCAGUUUUCUCAGUGUGUCAAAGAUCACCAUUUCAAAGGCCAUUUUGUCUAAGUUUAACUGGUUGUGUUUUUCUGGUUAACUCAAGUGACAUCUGUUCCCGAACUGUUCCUGACGGCAGUGAAGCUCAGCCACGAUGACACAGGAGCCAGGUAUUUACACCUGGCCAGAGAAGACACGAAUAAUCUGUUCAGAUUUCCUGUGAAGUGCAGAAGCACCGUCGUAGAAGCAGAGAAGCAGAGAUGCAGAGGCAGCGCUGGUGACUCACACAUGGAGAGCUGGA